ensembl:lncRNA
CCAAGCCCUGAGCUGAGAGAUAGGUGGGAAGGGGGAGUGUGGAGGGCGGGAGUAGCCCUCCGGGGUGCUGGGAGUGCGGCCACUUGGGAGCUGGUGCAGGUGGGCCCCUGGCCAGCAGAGGGCACCACGUGGCCCAGGCCUUGUCUGGAAAAGAUGGACGCCGGCCUGGCCUGGCUCCCGCACCAAUAGCUUUUCCAAAUCGGCACACCUCCAGGGCAAGUAUCACCUCAGCUCUCCCCGCCAAGCCUGGCUUUGAACCCAGGCCCUGCUGCUGCUCUGCUCUGUGAUUGCUCAAGUGUACGUCAGCCCUGAGAACCUCCGUGUCCUAACGUGUGAACGAGGACAGUUCUUUUUUUCCAGAGGGAUCAUGAGAAUCAAAACCCUUCGUAAAAGUUUAGCAUUGCAUACCUGGCGCAGGUGAGUGUCCAGUAUGUGGGGGCCACUGUUAUUUUUGUGACCCUCCAGAUGGAGGUCCCGCUCCCAAGGAGAAGGGGACUGGGGCCCUGGGCAUUUGGGAGGUGGAGUCCAAGAAAUCCACAGCCUGCUCAGGGGUCUCUCCCAGGACCACAGCAAGUCCUUGCCUUGAGGGUAUUCCUUGGUCGGGGUGGGAGUUGGGAAGCAGGAAAGGACUGUUCCGGAAGCGGGUCCAGCUCCCUCUAAGAACAAACUCGAGGGGGAGGAGGCGGUCCUCAGGGGCUCUCAGCACGCGUGUUGAGUGAGGAAACGACCGCAUGUGUAGGAGACACUGCCUCGUGUGGGACUGGCCUGACUUCUGGAGGUGGCUGCUUAGUCCAGCGCAGACCCCAGACGGAGGGGCUCCUGGAGAGGGGUCAGCGAGUCACAGGUGCGCUCGAGGUUGAGAACGACAGCCCAGAAGCCUGUGGGAACUGGUUCGGCCGCUGCGGUUUACCACUUCCAAGGGCGGAGCACUGAGGCUCACACGUUUGCUUCCAGGUGCCUGCAAGGACCUGUAUCGGGGCCAGGGGCGCAGGCCAGGCCACAAGUGGGCACCAAGAUGGCAUUGGCACCCGACCCUCGUGGCAUCUCCUGCUGUCAAACUCACCCAGACCCCCUGGGCAUCUCCAGCGCUUGCACGCUUGUCUUCACUUAGCUCGCUCUCUCCCCACAUCCUGGCUUCCUGGCAGUUGAGCAUGCUUUAACCAGGAACCACGAGGGGAUGGGCUUGGGGCUGGGGCAGUGGUUACCAAGAUAGGUCAAGAUGGCUCUGUGUGUCUGUGUGUCUGUGUGUCUGUGUGUCUGUGUGUGUGUUGAGCCUCUGCCAGGCUCCCAGAUGUGGGUCCUCCAGGGCUGAUGAAGAGGUCAAGAUGGCUGUGUGUGUGUGUGUGUGUUGAGCCUCUGCCAGGCUCCCAGAUGUGGGUCCUCCAGGGCUGAUGAAGACACAUCCCUGAGUGGGAGACGGAACAUAGACGGGCAAAGUGGGCCCGGUGGGGUGUGGGGUAGGCUGAGUGUCCUGUGAGAGGAGCCCGCGCAGGAGGAUCUAAGGGAGCCAGCCCUCCCUCCAGUGCCUUGGGUUGGGAAUAGUGACCAUUCAGUGUAUCCCCAAAGGUGAGACCGGAAAGGGCCCAGCGAAAAGGGGCCUUCUCUCCCCAGGGGCCCCUGGCUACCCCGCCCUGGCUACCUCCAGGACACCUGAGCCAGCAGGGGAGCCAAGGUUCCCCGGGGAAGAGAGAGAAUCUGAGGUUGGGAAGCAGGAAGUGACUCCAGCUGGCUCUGAUCCCCAAGCCAGGCAUCCAGGCUUGGGGGGUCCAGUGAGGCCAGCCAUGGUGAUGGUGGUUGGGCCCCAGGGGAGGCAGCCUUGGCUCUGGGGAUUCAUUUGCAUGGACCAAAGUGGAAUUUGCAUCUUUGAGAAGUUCCAGCUGAGGGAAGGGAGUGGGCGCCAGGAGCUCUUAGUCAGGCCUUCCGUCUCCCACCUCCCUCUGGGUGGGGUGGGCAUGGGGGAGCAGCCCCUGUGCCAGCCAG